GCCGAAAUAGCUCAACCCGGUAGAGCAACUGAAUCGUAAUCAGUAGGUUGUAGGUUCGAUUCCCGCUUUCGGCACCA
rnacentral:tRNA from 1 species